CAAUCAAACCGGGAGAUAGCUGGUUCUCCCCGAAAGCUAUUUAGGUAGCGCCUCGUGAAUUCAUCUCCGGGGGUAGAGCACUGUUUCGGCUAGGGGGCCAUCCCGGCUUACCAACCCGAUGCAAACUGCGAAUACCGGAGAAUGUUAUCACGGGAGACACACGGCGGGUGCUAACGUCCGUCGUGAAGAGGGAAACAACCCAGACCGCCAGCUAAGGUCCCAAAGUCAUGGUUAAGUGGGAAACGAUGUGGGAAGGCCCAGACAGCCAGGAUGUUGGCUUAGAAGCAGCCAUCAUUUAAAGAAAGCGUAAUAGCUCACUGGUCGAGUCGGCCUGCGCGGAAGAUGUAACGGGGCUAAACCAUGCACCGAAGCUGCGGCAGCGAACGUAUCACCCAAGACAACUUUACGGAGUUGACGAUUGACGGAGCGAAGCGACGUCAAAGCGUUCAUUAAAGUCGAGUUGGCUUAGGGAUACGUUCGUUGGGUAGGGGAGCGUUCUGUAAGCCUGUGAAGGUGUGUCGUGAGGCAUGCUGGAGGUAUCAGAAGUGCGAAUGCUGACAUAAGUAACGAUA
rnacentral:rRNA from 1 species